AGCGAACGCUGGCGGCAGGCCUAACACAUGCUAGUCGAACGAACCUUUCGGGGUUAGUGGCGGACGGGUGAGUAACACGUGGGAACGUGCCUUUAGGUUCGGAAUAACUCAGGGAAACUUGUGCUAAUACCGAAUGUGCCCUUCGGGGGAAAGAUUAAUCGCCUUUAGAGCGGCCCGCGUCUGAUUAGCUAGUUGGUUGAGGUAAUGGCUCACCAAGGCGACGAUCAGUAGCUGGUCUGAGAGGAUGAUCAGCCACAUUGGGACUGAGACACGGCCCAAACUCCUACGGGAGGCAGCAGUGGGGAAUCUUGCGCAAUGGGCGAAAGCCUGACGCAGCCAUGCCGCGUGAAUGAUGAAGGUCUUAGGAUUGUAAAAUUCUUUCACCGGGGACGAUAAUGACGGUACCCGGAGAAGAAGCCCCGGCUAACUUCGUG
rnacentral:rRNA from 1 species